rnacentral:tRNA from 1 species
GAGGGAAUGGCUCAGUGGUAGAGCGCGUGAUUAGCAUGCACGAGAGGGUCUGGGUUCAAUUCCCAGUGCCUCA